rnacentral:rRNA from 1 species
GCAUAGAGUGGCGAACGGCUGAGUAACACGUGGGCAACCUGCCCCCCGCACCGGGACAGCCUCGGGAAACCGUGGGUAAUACCGGGUACUCCGCCACCCCCGCAUGGGGGAGGCGGGAGAGCGUAUGCGGCGGGGGAUGGGCCCGCGGCCUGUUAGCUAGUUGGCGGGGCAACGGCCCACCAAGGCGAUUAUGGGUAGCUGGGUUGAGAGACCGACCAGCCAGAUUGGGACUGAGACACGGCCCAGACUCC